rnacentral:rRNA from 1 species
GACGAACGCUGGCGGCGUGCCUAAUACAUGCAAGUCGAGCGAGUCUGCCUUGAGGAUCUGAGUUCUUGCACGCUGUGAAACAAGAGACAGGCGAGCGGCUGACGGUUGAGUAACACGUGGGUAAUCUGCCCAAGAGAUCUAGAUAACACCUGCAUACGGAUUCUGAUACCGGGUAACAACAGAUGAUGCCUUGCAACUUUUUAUAAGAUGGUUCUGCUAUCACUCUUUGAUGGACCUGCGGUGCAUUAGCUAGUUGGUAGGGUAAAGGCCUACCAAGGCGACGAUGCAUAGCCGAGUUGAGAGAAUGAUCGGCCACAUUGGGACUGAGACACGGCCCAAACUCCUACGGGAGGCAGCAGUAGGGAAUCUUCGACAAUGGACGCAAGUCUGAUGGAGCAACGCCGCGUGAGUGAAGAAGGGCUUCGGCUCGUAAAGCUCUGUUGUUGGUGAAGAAGGACAGGGGUAGUAACUGACGCUUGUUUGACGGUAAUCAAUGAGAAAGUCCCGGCUAACUACGUG